rnacentral:rRNA from 1 species
UACGUAGGGGGCAAGCGUUGUCCGGAUUUAUUGGGCGUAAAGAGCGUGUAGGCGGCCAGGUAGGUCCGUUGUGAAAACUGGAGGCUUAACCUCCAGCUGUCGAUGGAAACCAUCUGGCUAGAGUCCGGAAGAGGAGAGUGGAAUUCCUGGUGUAGCGGUGAAAUGCGCAGAUAUCAGGAGGAACACCGAUUGCGAAGGCAGCUCGCUGGGACGUUACUGACGCUGAGACGCGAAAGCGUGGGGAGCAAACAGG